GUGACAGAGCUUCUGGGAGUGAGGGGACUGCCAGCCAGAUUGACAGAGGAGAUGGAAGAGUUGCCUACACAGGGAUUUCACGAAGAUGUUCCGUGAGAUAUGAAACCACCCCAUCUUAUAGAUGCUGAAACUGACACCACAGAAUGAUGCCAACUAAGUCAGAAGGGAAGUGACUUCUGACUGCAGUCUGACAAUACAUGAAAGACCCUAACACUCUGAGUGACCGCCACAGUGACCCGGCCGGGCAGUACUCACACUGAGGGUCAGAGGUGAUGAGGUUUAUGAGUGAGUAGAGCAUCUUGCUAAGACAUUUUACUAAGCUGUGGAGAAAUCAAGUCAGGAUGGUGGCAGGGCAGAUCACACACCUCCUGCCAUGGUCCUCUUUGUUGCCUCUUGGUCUUUGAGAACUGAGACUUCUCUUCAGCUGAGAGUAUUCUAUCCCCAGUCCUCGCCAGAAACUAAAACCUAACUCCACCGGCCUCCUGCUGGACUCUGAGGAACAUGCUCCAUGGAGGACUGAAGUACCAGUGUGACCUGACCUAAGCCUGCAAGGCUCAUUAUGGCUCACAAGGGAGGCUGCACAGGAAAGCCCACCACCCUGAGGUCCAGAUCCACCUGCCUUUCCACAACCAAAGAGAGCUACAGAAACCAGGUCACAGUCUGAUGCAAGCCACUCUAGGUGCUAACCUGUCAGCUACCUUGCUGAUGCAAGAUAUUCUCUAUCCUGAAAAUCUCUAUCCUUAAAAAGCUUCUGGUGUGGGUGAGCCGAUGAGACUCCUGACCAACAAACACCAGAACUGAAGAAGGUGGGUGUGACCAAAGUCGUCUGAGUUCUGAUGUCCAAAAGGCCAUGUGGAAAAGGAGGUCCAAGGAGCUGGCUAGGCCUUAGGAACCUAAGACUAAUGGGCUGACUUAGCACAGGCCAUGACAACACUCCCACAGACAUGAAGUAGGUAUAGGCAGGGUGACUCUAAAAGGACCUGGGACUCUACCCAUUCUUGGGUCUUUCCACAGUGUCACUCUGCCAUAUCCCUCCUGCAUGUCUUUAUUCUUUAGCCUCUACUAGGUGCUGUCACCCAGUCACUUCUCUUCCCAUCACUUCUAACGAUAUGGUGAUUGUAAUUGCAAGGUGUGUGUGCUUGUCUUCUAAGUAAGCCUUUACAUUUCAGGCAAUGGAUGGGGCUAAAAUGUCACACGGAUCCACAUUCACUUGAUUUUAUUUUAUUUUUUUAAUUUUGAGACAGGAUUUCUGUGUAGCCCUGGCUAUCCUAGAACUCGCUCUAUAAACCAAGCUGGCCUCAAACUCACAGAUAUCCACCUGCCUCUGCCUCUCAAGUACUGGGAUUAAAUGUGUGUGUCACUACCAUCUGGCCCAUAUUCUCAUUUAUGAGGACAGAGACAAUUCAUCCAUCUUUUCUCGUAUACUUGGCUCUGUGAGUUGCGAUGAUAAAAGCAACAUGGAUGCAAGCGAGGUAAAAUCUGUCUGGGAAUGAUGAGCAGGGUUCUAAAUAACCAAGGCCAGGGGCUCAGUACCAUUCAAAUGUGAGCCCCCAGCUGCCAGUGUGAAUGCAGCUAGCCCUCUGCAGUAUUAGAGCAUGUCAGAACUAGAGGAUGGAAGUGGGAAGUAUGCAUCUCUCUUCCAUGCCCAUCCCCUACCAUGUAGACGGGGAACGUCUUAGCUGAGCAUGUUGCUACUUGGCUCAAAUCAACAGUCCUGGGCCUCUUGUGAGAGCUGCAGACCACGAGCAGCUCCUGGCUGCUAAGGUUGAUGUUGAAGGAGAUGCAGCACCUACAGUGGCCUUCCCUUCCUCCUGUCACUAGACAGUGCACAUGGGAGUGAGGCUGGACCUACCGUCUUAGAAGACAAGAGGGACAGUACAACUGCAAAUGUAGAGCAGUGGGAAAUAAGGUGUGGGUCCCUUGAUGACAGGGCCACCACACAAGCCUGCUGGGUAUUCUGAGUUAGGGAGAAAAGCUACUGACUUGUUUAAGCAACUACAAACGUGGUCUCCAUGCUGCAGACACUAGUGGUUUGUUUCAUGCUUGAAGCUGGAAUCCCUGUCCACACAUGCCCUACACUCUGGUACUGUGGGUACUCCUGCUAGAGGUGUGUGUGUGUGUGGGGGGCAAGAUCAAAGGAGAAGAGAAGGCAGUGUCGAGGUCAGCUUUGGAUUCUCACCUCCUGUUCUCUGCCUUUGGUCCUCAAGACAAGCUUCAUUUUGUUUCUUUUAAAGGCAGGGUCUCACCAUGUAGCUGGCCUGGAAUUCAAAGAUCUGCCUAUUUCCACCUCCCAAGUACUGGGAUUAAAGUCAUGUGCCACCACACCCGUUCAUUUUGACAAGCUCUGUCAGUACACUCACUGAAGAUUCCCUGCCCUUUAGACACACUGGACACUUGUUGCCUCAGAGAGCUGGCCAAAGCACAGCUCCUAGGAUACGGUCUUUUCCAGUGUCACACAUAAAGACGUGCCCAACUGCUGUCCUGUGCUCUUUUUAGAAACCCUGAGAGGCAUUAGAUUUACAACACAGCACUCUGUCUGAUUGCACACACAGUCUCCCAGCAUGGGCCCAGGUAAAAUUCCUCUUUGCAGCAAACACAGUAACAGCCACUUUCCAUUCUGUUCUGCUUUGAAGAGCUCCUGUCAUGUGGAACAAGAAAGCCUAGGCUAGCCUACUCCAAACAGGAGCUCUCAGAACAGGAUUCAGAAGAUGUUAUGGGAAGGAUGAGGGUUUCCCAGGUCUCAGACAGCCCCUAUACUCUUACUUGGACAGUGGUAGAACAAGGGGCUUCAUUAGUGGCCUAUGCAGACCUACCCUUCAGGCUAUAUAGUGUCACAACAGCAUGGAUUUGACAACUUGUAUUGUUUGUAUUGGUAGAAGAUGUCUGGGGCUGGAUGAACUAGGGGCCAAUGAGACAGACAGACAGACAGACAGACAGACAGACACACCCUCACACCCCCAGCCACUCACCAGUGCUCCAUGGAAUGUACAGGCCUUGAGUAGGAACUGAGGGAGAGUUGCUCACCAGUAAACUCCUUCCGCAGUCAUCUAACCAAAGCCUAGCGCCUUUACUUUUCUCAUGCAGCUUAGGGUCAAAUAGGAUGGCUUGGGAAAUGGCUCAGCCAGCAAAGUGCUUGUCACGAGAACGAACACGAGGAUCUCAGUUUGAGCCACAGAACUCACAUCCCUGUAAUCGUGGCAUUGGGGCUUAGGGAGAGACAGACCCUUGGGGCUCAGUGGCCAGUCUGGAUCAAUCAAGUAAGCCCCGUGCUCCCAUGCUGCCAGUGAAAGACUGUCUCAAAAAGAACUGUGGACAGUCCCAUACCUGCAAACAGACGAACACACAUGCAAAAGGUGCUUUCCCUAGUGAACUGAGAAAUGCUGCAUCCUAUGUAGCCCUAGCAUUGCAAGUGGAGGCUUCCACAUAGAAGGGAAGCCAGGAAAGAGGGCUGAGCCAUGAGAAGGAGUAGUCAUCAGGCACAGCUACCUUUUGCUAAGAGGGACAGGGAGACCCUGCCUGCUGCAUCAGCACCAGAUGGCCUAGGCCCUAGACCAAGGGCUUAUCACCACUGUGAUGGUUUGUAUAUCCUUGGACCAGGGAGUGGUACCAUCUGAAGGUGUGGCCUUUUUGGAAUAGGUGUGACCUGGUUGGAAUGGGUGUGUCACUGUGGGUGUGGGUAUAAGAUCCUCACCCUACUUGCCUGGAAGUCAGUCUUCCACUAGCAGCCUUUGGAUGAAGACGUAGAACUCUCGCUCUGCCUGCACCAUGCCUGCCUGGAUACUGCCAUGCUCCCACCUUGAUGAUAAUGGACUGAACCUCUGAACCUGUAAGCCAGCCCCAAUUAAAUGUUGUUUUUAUAAGA